rnacentral:lncRNA from 1 species
CCGGAAAUAUAAUCUGUCGAAUCCCGGAUACCCACUGUGUCAGAAAAAAAAAAAAAGUAGAAAGAUGGAAAACACAUAGUACAACAUGUAUUUGAAAGGAAUAAUAGAUGAGGGAAUUUGAAAGUGGAACGAGAGAUCUCACGAUCAUUUAAUUAACGUGUAAGUUGAUUAAUUGGAGAAUCAUUGUUGCUUUUGUUUUGAAAUUUCAUUUCAUGAUGUUAGUCUGCAUUGCCAUGCGUUUUUGACACCCAGAGAUAAAUAAAUAAAAAGAAAGAAUUACACACUUUGUUUGCUAUAUCCAUCAGCAAUUAAAUUACGGCAUGUUGUAUUAAUUUUUAACUUAGUUUUAAGGAAUAUAUGAGAAUAGGGGAUAUGUCUCAAUUUCCUCUCAUCUUUAUCAAACAAAAAUAAAACUAAUCAACUUUCGCUGAAUGCUUUAUGAAAAAUGCAUACUGCUGCAAACUAACUAAUACGGUAUAAGAAAAAUCGAGGCACCCCACAUGUAAUCAAAAGAGAAAAUGACAAGAGAAAAUCAAGAGAUUUAAUUGUGAUUUCAAGACUUUAACAUCAUGAGCUCUCUAUAUGAUCUCAAAAUAUAUAUAUAUAUAUAUAUGUAUCAUACAUCUUCGUAGCAGGAGAUAACAUCUUCGUAGCAGAACUUCAGUAGCCACCUUCUCUUUUUCCUCUCGUGACAGUCGCCACUUUUUUCACUAACCCCUGGAUUAUCAUACAUUUGAUCUGCCCUCUCUCUGGAGGAAGCCUAGCGUUUCGGUUUUCCACCAACGUCUUGCCAUAUUCAACUUCCAUUACUUUAUAGAAAAAUUUUUGAGGUGGGAAGUACUGAGGGAUGGGAGGGAUUAAUUAUCAAGAAAUCUGUACUUGUUUAGUUUUGUUGGUGAAGAAGAGAAGAGGGAGGUGAAUUUAUAAGUGUAGAUGAAGGAAAGGGUGCCGG